rnacentral:misc_RNA from 1 species
CCUCCUGGUUUGGUGUUGGACCCGUGUUGCCGCCUUCGUGCGCAACUGGUCUCAAAGACAAUGACGGCGUCCGUGGGGACCCUCUUCGCAACGAGCUUCUUCGGAGCACGCGUCGAGUUUCAAGGACCCUGUGGGCCGGUCUAACCAUUUUAUUUCACAAGGUUGACCUCGGAUCAGGUAGGAAUACCCGCUGAACUUAA